rnacentral:miRNA from 1 species
CAGGCCGGCGGGGCUCCCGU